ensembl:lncRNA
AUGAGUACUGCUGAUUCGGUGACAGACCAGGGCACAAGGGACCGAUUAUUCAAGGAGGCAGCUGCCCUCAUCCUGAGGGAACCCACCCUGCGUGAGGCCCUGCAACUCCCAGGCCUGCAGCCAGCAGCCACACCAGGUCCUACUCCUCAGGUAGGUCAGUCGAGCCACGCUCAGUCUCCAGCCCCAGUUCAGUCGUGCUCUGCUCAGGCUCCAGCCCCAGUUCAGUCGUGCUCUGCUCAGGCUCCAGCCCCAGCUCAGCCUUGUCGCGUCCAGGUCCCAGCUCAGCCUUGUCGCGUCCAGGUCCCAGCUCAGCCUUGUCGCGUCCAGGUCCCAGCUCAGCCUUGUCGCGUCCAGGUCCCAGCUCAGCCUUGUCGCGUCCAGGUCCCAGUCCAGUCGAGUCGCGUCCAGGUCCCAGUCCAGUCGAGUCGCGUCCAGGUCCCAGUCCAGUCGAGUCGCGUUCAGGCCUUGUCCCAACCAGAGGGAACCACCCAUCAAACAAGUGCUAUUCACACCCGAUCAGGCCCGGCGUCUACUUCCUCGAGCUCGGCAGCUGCAAGCAGCCAUGCCGGCUCCAGACAGGACGCCGUCUCAGUCCCUGCCGGCUCCAGUGAGGAGCCCGAGAGCAGCACUGCCGGCUCCAGUGAGGAGCCCGAGAGCAGCACUGCCGGCUCCAGUGAGGAGCCCGAGAGCAGCACUGCCGGCUCCAGUGAGGAGCCCGAGAGCAGCACUGCCGUUCUAGUUCCCGUUCCUGUCGGCUCCCGCGAGGACGCUGUUCGUGUCCCUGUCAGCCUCGGAGGGGCAGUCCCCGCCAACCUCCAGGAGGAGGUCGCGCCAGCUGGAGUUUCUGCCGCAGUCCCCGCCGACCUCCAGGAGGAGGCCGCGCCGGUCGCAGUUCCCGCCGCGGUUCCCGACGAUCUCCAGGAGGAGGUCGCGCCUGCCACAGUUCCCGCCGACCUCCAGGAGGAGGUCACGCCUGUUGCCGUUUCCGCUGCAGUUCCUGUCGUCCUCCAGGAGGGGGUCGUUCCUGUUGCCGUUCCUGCUACAGUUCCUGAUGGUCCUGCAGAGACUUUUGUUUCUGUUCCUUUGUGCGCAGGAGCCGUUCCGGGGGGUGCCGGAGGUUCCUGCGGAGAUCCCUCUGCACCGGCCACACUCGCAGAGGCAGCUCCUGGUGGUCUGACGUCUGCCACGUUGACCCCGGUCCCUGGUGAUCUGGCACAGAUCACACCUGCCUCAGCUCCUUGUGGUCCGACCACGUCUGCCUCAGCUCUUGGUGAUCUGGUACAGAUCACAUCUGCCUCAGCUCCUGGUGGCUCGGCUCCGGCCACGUCUCCACGUCUGUCCUCGUCUCUGGUACCUGCCUCGUCUCUGGUUCCGGCCUCGCCUCCACGUCUGUCCUCGUCUCUGGUUCGUCUGCCGUACUGGUGGCCUCGCCCUCGUCACCUCCUGCCGGUUGGGUGGCGCUGCCUCCUGCGGCGACAUCCGCCUCGGCUUCGCCGUCGUCGGGGCCGCUCACCUCGGGAACGUCCCCUCCUGCCACGACGAUGGCGCGGUCUCUGCCGUCAUCGUCUGCCGCGACUCUGGGGUCCUUGGAUCACCUCCGUCGGGAGGAGGCUGGACUCCGCCAGCCUUGCGCUUGGGCAUGGGGAGUGCCGUCUUGGCCUGGCGGCCGUGCAACCUACCCUCUCCUCGCCACCAUCCCCCGUGAAAGGACAGUUUGGACCUUGUUUUUUGUGUUACGGACUCCACUUCCUGCCCUAUUUCAUGUUCUUGUUGUCGUUGUUUCUGUUUUAA